rnacentral:rRNA from 1 species
AUUGAACGCUGGCGGCAGGCCUAACACAUGCAAGUCGAGCGAGUGGCGGACGGGUGAGUAAUGUCUGGGCAACUGCCUGAUGGAGGGGGAUAACUACUGGAAACGGUCACUACUACCGCAUACCAUCAGCUGUGCCCAGAUGGGAUUAGCUAGGAGGUGGGGUAAUGGCUCACCUCGGCGACGAUCCCUAGCUGGUCUGAGAGGAUGACGAGCCACACUGGCAACGCGAGACGGUCCAGACUGCGAAGAGUGGUACGAGUGGCGAAUGUGGGACAAUUGGCGCAAGGGUGAAGAUGCUAUGCCGCGGGUGUCACGAAGGGGUUGGGGUUUUAAAGUAUGUAAAGCUCUGAGGGGUUAGGUGGAGAAGAAGCACCGGCUAACUACGUGCCAGCAGCCGCGGUAAUUC